UAGGGUGGCAGAGCCAGGUACAUUGCAAGAGGCCUAAGCCCUCUACCCCAGAAGUUCAAAUCUUCUCCCUAAAA
rnacentral:tRNA from 1 species